CAACCUGAGCUCAGUCGUGAUUACCCGCCGAACUUAAGCAUAUCAUUCAGCGGAGGAAAAGAAACUAACUAGGAUUCCCCAAGUAAUGGCGAAUGAAAGGGGAAGAGCCCAGCGCUGAAUCUCUCGGUCUUAGGCCGCUGAGAACUGUAGCGUAUAGGUGUGACUGUCCUGCUAUAUUGCAUUUCCGAAGUCUCUUUGAUAGGGGCCAACAUCCAGAGAGGGUGCGAGACCUGUACGGAAAGUAGUAUAGUUAGGUAUGGUUACUCCUUGGAGUCGGGUUGCUUGAAAGUGCAGCCUAAAGUUGGUGAUAAACUUCAUCUAAGGCUAAAUAUCGACGCGAAAUCGAUAGCAAACAAGUACCGUGAGGGAAAGUUGCAAAGAACUUUGAAGAGAGAGUUCAAGAGAACGUGAAAUCGCUGAAGUGGAACCGGAGAGAGUUAACAUAACUUGGUAGCUAUAUCCUCUAAAGUCGCUUAACUGUGGCUCUGGGGGGUGGACGCUACCUGUUGUUGCACUGACUGCGUUGAUUGUGCUUUCCGAACAGUAUAGUGUUGCCCACUUUGUGGUGUCUUGCUUUCUGGGAGGUUUGUCAUAAUUAACGUAAAGCCAAUUCCCUUUGGAGUCAGUGUGAAAGUUAACCACCUUUCCGACCCGUCUUGAAACACGGACCGAGGAGUGUAAUUUAUACGCGAGUCAAGGGGUGGUGAAAACCCUAGGGGCGGAAUGAAAGUAAAGGCCGGUUAACCGGUUGACAUGGGAUCCGCUCUUCGGAGCGGCGCACCAUGGCCCUGUCUUGUCUGCUUGCAGAUGGGCAGCGGUAGAGCGUAUAGUUUGCGACCCGAAAGAUGGUGAACUAUGCUUGAGCAGGACGAAGCCAGAGGAAACUCUGGUGGAAGUCCGUAUCGGUUCUGACGUGCAAAUCGAUCGAUAGACUUGGGG
rnacentral:ncRNA from 1 species